UUGUGGUCAAAUUAUGCUGAAAACACCAGUUCUUAUUUGCUCACCACAGUUAAGUAGUGUUGAGUCUGGUCAGUACUUAGAUGGGGGACUACUUGGGAACACUGGCUACUGUA